AUGUAAUGCCUAUAGUAUUAAUGCACCAGAUCCCAUAGAAAUCCGCAGUUAAGUGUGAUUGGGAUAGAAUAUUACUAGGAUGGCUGAUCUCCUGGGAAGUCCUAGUGUUUUACAUU
rfam:Picea glauca, whole genome shotgun sequence.